rnacentral:rRNA from 1 species
GAUCAUGGCUCAGGAUGAACGCUAGCUACAGGCUUAACACAUGCAAGUCGAGGGGCAGCGGGAUUGAAGCUUGCUUCAAUUGCCGGCGACCGGCGCACGGGUGAGUAACGCGUAUCCAACCUUCCGUACACUCAGGGAUAGCCUUUCGAAAGAAAGAUUAAUACCUGAUGGUAUCUUAAGCACACAUGUAAUUAGGAUUAAAGAUUCAUCGGCGUACGAUGGGGAUGCGUUCCA